rnacentral:rRNA from 1 species
GCUGGCGCAGCUUAACACAUGCAAGUCGAGCGGUAACAGAGAUAGCUUGCUAUCUGCUGACGAGCGGCGGACGGGUGAGUAAUGCUUGGGAAUAUGCCUUUGAGUGGGGGACAACAGUUGGAAACGACUGCUAAUACCGCAUAACGUCUACGGACCAAAGGGGGGGAUGCUUCGGCACCUCUCGCUCAUUGAUUAGCCCAAGUGAGAUUAGCUAGUUGGUAAGGUAAUGGCUUACCAAGGCGACGAUCUCUAGCUGGUUUGAGAGGAUGAUCAGCCACACUGGGACUGAGACACGGCCCAGACUCCUACGGGAGGCAGCAGUGGGGAAUAUUGCACAAUGGGCGAAAGCCUGAUGCAGCCAUGCCGCGUGUGUGAAGAAGGCCUUCGGGUUGUAAAGCACUUUCAGCGAGGAGGAAAGGUUAGUAGUUAAUAGCUGCUAGCUGUGACGUUACUCGCAGAAGAAGCACCGGCUAACUUCGUGCCAGCAGCCGCGGUAAUACGAGGGGUGCAAGCGUUAAUCGGAAUUACUGGGCGUAAAGCGUGCGUAGGUGGUUUGUUAAGCAAGAUGUGAAAGCCCCGGGCUCAACCUGGGAACUGCAUUUUGAA